UACAGUGGUCUCAAGCGUUGUUCGGAUUCAUUGGGCGUAAAGGGUGCGUAGGCGGCGCGGUAAGUCGGGUGUGAAAUCUCGGAGCUUAACUCCGAAACUGCAUUCGAUACUGCCGUGCUUGAGGACUGGAGAGGAGACUGGAAUUUACGGUGUAGCGGUGAAAUGCGUAGAUAUCGUAAGGAAGACCAGUGGCGAAGGCGGGUCUCUGGAUAGUUCCUGACGCUGAGGUGCGAAAGCGUGGGGAGCAAACAGG
rnacentral:rRNA from 1 species